UGCGUAGGCGGUAUUGUGUGUCGGAUGUGAAAGCUCACGGCUUACCCGUGGAAUUGCAUCCGAAACUGCAGUACCAGAGUAUGGGAGAGGUGAGCGGAAUUCUUGGUGUAGCGGUGAAAUGCGUAGAUAUCAAGAGGAACACCGGCGGCGAAAGCGGCUCACUGGACCAAUACUGACGCUGAGGCACGAAAGCUAGGGUAGCCAAGA
rnacentral:rRNA from 1 species